ACUUCCUCCCCGGUUGCCCUGGAGCCCUUUGGAAAGCUAAGAAUACGGGGAGUCUCUGUUCCUUUUCUCUUCCAAAUUCUUGCUUCUGCUGCAGCACAGUCUGACCGAGCAGUUUCGAGGCUCUGCCGCCAGCGGCUUGUUGGUGCUGUGGAAGCCCCCAGGUAGCUGAGAAGUUGAUGGAAUCUUCUUACGGUCCAACUUUCACUAUUGCUUGUGUUAGAGUGUGAGGUAAAGGUGUACGUUGGGAUGGAGGUGAGGGCAGGCGGUGCGUUUUGUUCAGCGUGUAUGCCAAGUCUAGAUCGGAACUUGCCAUGAUUAUGCUGCAUGAAGUCAGAGCUAAAGAAGCCUGUGCCCCUGUGAGAAAGAGCUGUGGCUGCAUCUCAAUACACAUAAAGGAAAAUGCGAGUCCCAAAGAACAGAGGGUCUCAGGAAGCAGCAGGAAAAGCUCACCCGCUGUGUCUUCCUGAGCCCCGACUGGCCCCCUGAGGCUCCGGGCCCACAGAGGGAAAAAGAGGGAGCAGAGAAGGUGACUGAGCAAGACCGCGCCAUACAACAAAUCAAGGUGCAUCAGCACGAUGGAAAACCCGGCCACAGUGUUCAAAUGUCCAAACUUAUUUCUCCUUCCAGGGACCUAAAGGAAAGGCUGUCUGCCCUUGGGACAUGGAUCCCCUCUUGUUAUGGUUGGUAAGGCAAGGUCAGGGUCAGCGGACGGGCUGCUGAGGUCGGGUCUCAGGCCCUGCUUUGGAGCUUCCAGGGCGGUGUCUGCAGUAUGUUUCCACGGACGCUCGGCAGAGCCCCCAAGCUGCCCCUUGUCCUCCCCAUCUCUGCCCGCGGACACCCUGCCCAGACCUUAGGAGCCCUCUGCAAAUGCCACCAUUUCCAGAGAGACUUAGAACCAAGUUCCCCUCCCUCCCUCGUCCCUCUUGUUAUAAUCUCAUUUCUUACCCGCUUCCACCCGGCCUUAUGGCUGCUUACACACCGGCCUUCGUUCCAGAGAUACUCAUCGAGCUCCGAUUAUGUAGCAGGCCCAGAGCGAGUCACCAGCAAUGAGAAAGAUACAAUCCUAGUUCUUACAUAAAGAGCUCACACGCUCACAGUCAAACAGAGACAGACGAGUCAACACAUAAUUCAAACACAGCACGGAG